AACGAACGCUGGCGGCAGGCCUAACACAUGCAAGUCGAGCGCCCCGCAAGGGGAGCGGCGGACGGGUGAGUAACGCGUGGGAACGUGCCCUUUGCUACGGAAUAGCCUCGGGAAACUGGGAGUAAUACCGUAUGUGCCCUACGGGGGAAAGAUUUAUCGGCAAAGGAUCGGCCCGCGUUGGAUUAGGUAGUUGGUGGGGUAAUGGCCUACCAAGCCGACGAUCCAUAGCUGGUUUGAGAGGAUGAUCAGCCACACUGGGACUGAGACACGGCCCAGACUCCUACGGGAGGCAGCAGUGGGGAAUUUUGGACAAUGGGCGCAAGCCUGAUCCAGCCAUGCCGCGUGAGCGAUGAAGGCCUUCGGGUUGUAAAGCUCUUUCGUGGGGGAAGAUAAUGACUGUACCCCAAGAAGAAGCCCCGGCUAACUCCGUGCCAGCCGCCGCGGUAAUAC
rnacentral:rRNA from 1 species